UCGUUAGUAGCAUAGUGGUUAGUGCACAGCCCCAGAUAGCUUGAGACGCGGGUUCGAAUCCCGCCUGAGGUG
rfam:Nippostrongylus brasiliensis genome assembly, scaffold: NBR_scaffold0004196